UGAAGGGCGACCCGACGAUUCCGUUGGCGGAGCUUUACUCGCUGGCCUUCCGUGACCUCAGCUGUGCCUCAGCUCUCAGCUCAACAACUUUCCCUUGGAACAAAGCGAACAAAAAAAUUGCUGCACAAUGCAGCGAUUAAUGGGACUGAGUCGAAUAUGGCCAGAGUUGAGAUUCUGUGUCUCGAGUAGUCCAGAAAAACUCCAUCCUGGCUUAGCUAUUCUCAAAAUGCCGAAAAGAACCAACAUGUCAAGGACUUCCGACGUUCUAGAGAAGAAACUGAAAUAUCAAGACGAUAUACCUGAAAGCUUCAGACUUGUUUACAGAGGGGGAGUAGACAAUUAUAUUCAUUCUGCGUAUAUAAUUAGUACACUUGGUUUAGGCUUCGGAAUGUUAUCACUCUAUAAUAUUUUCAAUCAGGAUGGGCCUUUGGAAUUUCCUAUAAAUUCACCAUUCGAAUCAUUGACUGGAAUUGAAAGUUACUCUGAACUUUUUAUUAUGUACGCCUCGGUUUUCGCCAUGAUUCUCAGCAUCAGAGGUAUCAGCAGAAGAUUCGUUUUGCGAAUGUAUUAUAACGAAAGAACUGAAACAUAUAGAGCAAUACGAGUCGGCUACAUCCCAACCGCAACCAGGCCUCAUGAUUUUCAAGCUGGAACCCUUCAACGAGUCAGAUCAAAAUCUGUCAUACCAUGGUGGAACAUGCAGUAUAAGAUUAAUGGAGAAAAAUUGUUGCUAUUCGACGAGGGAUUCAGAACCAAUGCUGACUAUGAUAGGAUGUUCAAAGAUUGAAGUGUUACUUGAAUAUAGACAUGAAUCGAGCUUGAAAAGUUCGUCAUCGGA